GAUGAAGAACGCAGCGAAUUGCGAUAAGUAAUGUGAAUUGCAGAUUUUCAGUGAAUCAUCGAAUCUUUGAACGCACCUUGCGCUCCUUGGUAUUCCGAGGAGCAUGCCUGUUUGAGUGUCAUUUAAUUCUCAACCAUCCCUCGAUUUGUUUCGAGGUUUGGCUUGGAUUUUGGGAGCUGCCGGGCGACCCUACGGUCUUCGGCUCUCCUUAAAAGCAUUAGCGAUGGUGGAACGACCUAACUCCAUGCAUGAACGGCCUUCGACGUGAUAAUGAUCGUCGUGGCUGGAGUGCGAGCGGGCGUCGUGAAGCCAGCGCUUCUAAAUCUCUCGUCGAAAGACGAAACUCGAAACUUGACCUCAAAUCAGGUAGGACUACCCGCUGAACUUAAGCAUAUCAAUAAGCGGAGGA
rnacentral:misc_RNA from 1 species